rnacentral:rRNA from 1 species
CUCUAUCACUCCUACGGGGAGGCAGCAGUGGGGGAAUAUUGCACAAUGGGCGCAAGCCUGAUGCAGCCAUGCCGCGUGUGUGAAGAAGGCCUUCGGGUUGUAAAGCACUUUCAGUCGUGAGGAAGGUAGUGUAGUUAAUAGCUGCAUUAUUUGACGUUAGCGACAGAAGAAAGCACCGGCUAACUCCGUGCCAGCAGCCGCGGUAAUACGGAGGGUGCGAGCGUUAAUCGGAAUUACUGGGCGUAAAGCGCAUGCAGGUGGUUUGUUAAGUCAGAUGUGAAAGCCCGGGGCUCAACCUCGGAAUUGCAUUUGAAACUAGGCAGACUAGAGUACUGUAGAGGGGGGUAGGAAUUUCAGGUGUAGCGGUGAAAUGCGUAGAGAUCUGAAGGAAUACCGGUGGCGAAGGCGGCCCCCUCGGACAGAUACUGACACUCAGAUGCGAAAGCGUGGGGAGCAAACAGGAUUAGAUACCCUGGUAG